GUAUUACUGGGAGUUCUCUUCAAGCACUUUACAAAGCACCUUUUUAUGGUUUCAUGUGAAGUAUUUGGGGGAACUCUUGGUGCAAC
rnacentral:pre_miRNA from 1 species